AGGUGGAAACACAAGGUUAUCUGAGGGAAGCAACUUCAUGGGUUUGCCAUGCCUGCCCCAGCACAGGAGGGCAGUGCUGAGCUAAGGGCUCUCCCCAACUGCCCCUGCAGGAUCCAGACACCCAGCAGCUUGCUAGAUAAGCAGGCAGAUAAGCAACUGGAUCCUGCCAUUGUUUCCCUUAGCGGAGGAAGAGGAAGACGGACAGCCCACAGCCCCUCUGCCUGCCAACAGUGCUGCCUUCUUCAACAUUCAGCCCAGAGCAAGCGGUCUAGAUUUGCUCUGGCUGGGAGAAAAAAUAAACACAG
rnacentral:lncRNA from 1 species